rnacentral:lncRNA from 1 species
UCAACAUCUUACUUUCAAAAUCUUAGCUUGCGGUCAUCAUCAUGAAUCAAUUCGACAAUCUACUUGCAAAUCCUUUUUAAUACUUGUCAUAUGAAGAGAAACAAUGAAGAUAAACUAUAGAUAAAAUGUAUCAGUGCUCAUCGGCCAUUGGACAUAAACAUUACAAAACUAUUGGAAAUCGCAAAUUCAACGAUGAGUGGUUUGGAAGGAAUCGGUUACAGUGGCUAACUGCAAGCACUGUAACUGGGACGUCGGGAAUAAACGAGCUCAGACUGGGAAAAUAUGUUUUAAACGGUCAUCCAAAUCCAACUAGGAAUUGUAAAUCCGUCCUCUUUCUCUUUCCUUGAUGACAAAAUGUGACCACAAAGGACUGCCGCGCCACCUUCCUGUUCAAGUGAGCACAUCACAACAAGAUAAAACAACACCUCACAGCACAACACGGACAGUGAAGAGGCACGCUAAAACACACAUUUUACACACACC